GACCGUGGCCGCGACUGGCGCAGGGUGGGUCACCACCGGGGAGCGGCCACGGGCACCCGCAGGGGCGUCCGCCGUUCACGGGGUCGUCCGCCUGGGCCUCGCGU
rnacentral:ncRNA from 21 species